rnacentral:rRNA from 1 species
UGGAUCCAGACUUUGAUCACGGCUCAGGACGAACGCUGGCGGCGCGCCUAACACAUGCAAGUCGAACGAGCGAGAGAGAGCUUGCUUUCUCGAGCGAGUGGCGAACGGGUGAGUAACGCGUGAGGAACCUGCCUCAAAGAGGGGGACAACAGUUGGAAACGACUGCUAAUACCGCAUAAGCCCACGACCCGGCAUCGGGUAGAGGGAAAAGGAGCAAUCCGCUUUGAGAUGGCCUCGCGUCCGAUUAGCUAGUUGGUGAGGUAAUGGCCCACCAAGGCGACGAUCGGUAGCCGGACUGAGAGGUUGAACGGCCACAUUGGGACUGAGACACGGCCCAGACUCCUACGGGAGGCAGCAGUGGGGAAUAUUGCACAAUGAGGGAAACCCUGAUGCAGCGACGCCGCGUGGAGGAAGAAGGUCUUCGGAUUGUAAACUCCUGUUGUUGAGGAAGAUAAUGACGGUACUCAACAAGGAAGUGACGGCUAACUACGUGCCAGCAGCCGCGGUAAAACGUAGGUCACAAGCGUUGUCCGGAAUUACUGGGUGUAAAGGGAGCGCAGGCGGAAAGGCAAGUUGGAAGUGAAAUCCAUGGGCUCAACCCAUGAACUGCUUUCAAAACUGUUUUCCUUGAGUAGUGCAGAGGUAGGCGGAAUUCCCGGUGUAGCGGUGGAAUGCGUAGAUAUCGGGAGGAACACCAGUGGCGAAGGCGGCCUACUGGGCACCAACUGACGCUGAGGCUCGAAAGUGUGGGUAGCAAACAGGAUUAGAUACCCUGGUAGUCCACACUGUAAACGAUGAUUACUAGGUGUUGGAGGAUUGACCCCUUCAGUGCCGCAGUUAACACAAUAAGUAAUCCACCUGGGGAGUACGACCGCAAGGUUGCAACUCAAAUGAAUUGACGGA